rnacentral:rRNA from 1 species
AGUGAACGCUGGCGGUAGGCCUAACACAUGCGAGUCGAACGGCAGCACAGUAAGAGCUUGCUCUUACGGGUGGCGAGUGGCGGACGGGUGAGGAAUACAUCGGAAUCUACUUUUUCGUGGGGGAUAACGUAGGGAAACUUACGCUAAUACCGCAUACGACCUACGGGUGAAAGCAGGGGAUCUUCGGACCUUGCGCGAUUGAAUGAGCCGAUGUCGGAUUAGCUAGUUGGCGGGGUAAAGGCCCACCAAGGCGACGAUCCGUAGCUGGUCUGAGAGGAUGAUCAGCCACACUGGAACUGAGACACGGUCCAGACUCCUACGGGAGGCAGCAGUGGGGAAUAUUGGACAAUGGGCGCAAGCCUGAUCCAGCCAUACCGCGUGGGUGAAGAAGGCCUUCGGGUUGUAAAGCCCUUUUGUUGGGAAAGAAAAGCAGCAGGUUAAUACCCCGCCGUUCUGACGGUACCCAAAGAAUAAGCACCGGCUAACUUCGU